UAGAGUUUGAUCCUGGCUCAGAAUCAACGCUGGCGGCGUGCCUAACACAUGCAAGUCGAACGCGAAAGUGGAGCAAUCCAUGAGUAGAGUGGCGAACGGGUGAGUAACGCGUGGGUGACCUACCUUCGAGUGGGGGAUAACGUCCCGAAAGGGACGCUAAUACCGCAUGACAUCCUGUCCUUGAACGGACGGAGAUCAAAGCUGGGGAUCGCAAGACCUGGCGCUUGUUGAGGGGCCCGCGUCUGAUUAGCUAGUUGGUGAGGUAACGGCCCACCAAGGCGACGAUCAGUAUCCGGCCUGAGAGGGCGGACGGACACACUGGGACUGAGACACGGCCCAGACUCCUACGGGAGGCAGCAGUGGGGAAUUGUUCGCAAUGGGCGCAAGCCUGACGACGCAACGCCGCGUGGAGGAUGAAGGUCUUCGGAUUGUAAACUCCUGUUGCCAGGGACGAAUGGCUCCGACCUAACACGUCGGAGAGUGACGGUACCUGGUGAGGAAGCCCCGGCUAACUCUGUGCCAGCAGCCCCGGUCAAAUCGAAUCCCGCGGCCG
rnacentral:rRNA from 1 species